GUUAAAAAGCUCGUAGUUGGAUUUCGGAACCGGCCGAUUGGUCCGCCCUCUGGGUUGUGUACUGAUCGGUCUGUUCUUCUUCGCGAAGACCGCGUGUGCCCUUAACUGGGUGGGCGUGGGAUUCACGACGUUUACUUUGAAAAAAUUAGAGUGUUCAAAGCAGGCAUUCGCUUGAAUAUCUCAGCAUGGAAUAAUAGAAUAGGACUUUGGUCUUAUUUUGUUGGUUUCCGAGACCGAAGUAAUGAUUAAUAGGGACAGUUGGGGGCAUUCGUAUUUCAUUGUCAGAGGUGAAAUUCUUGGAUUUAUGAAAGACGAACUUCUGCGAAAGCAUUUGCCAAGGAUGUUUUCAUUAAUCAAGAACGAAAGUUGGAGGCUCGAAGACGAUCAGAUACCGUCCUAGUUCCAACCAUAAACGAUGCCGUCUGCGGAUCGGAGGUCGCUCAUGUAAGGCUCCUUCGGCACGCUAUGAGAAAUCAAAGACUUCGGGUUCCGGGGGGAGUAUGUUCGCAAGAAUGAAACUUAAAGGAAUUGACGGAAGGGCACCACCAGGAGUGGAACCUGCGGUUUAAUUUGACUCAACACGGGAAAACUCACCAGGUCCAGACAUAGGAAGGAUUGACAGAU
rnacentral:rRNA from 1 species